rnacentral:rRNA from 1 species
GACGUAGGGUGCGAGCGUUGUCCGGAUUUAUUGGGCGUAAAGAGCUCGUAGGCGGCUCGUCGCGUCGACCGUGAAAACCCGCGGCUUAACUGCGGGCUUGCGGUUGAUACGAGCAAACUAGAGUGUUGCAGGGGAGACUGGAAUUCCUGGUGUAGCGGUGAAAUGCGCAGAUAUCAGGAGGAACACCAAUGGGCGAAGGCAGCUCGCUGGAACGGUACUGACG